rnacentral:rRNA from 1 species
UACGUAGGUGGCAAGCGUUAUCCGGAAUUAUUGGGCGUAAAGAGCGCGCAGGUGGUUGAUUAAGUCUGAUGUGAAAGCCCACGGCUUAACCGUGGAUGGUCAUUGGAAACUGGUCGACUUGAGUGCAGAAGAGGGAAGUGGAAUUCCAUGUGUAGCGGUGAAAUGCGUAGAGAUAUGGAGGAACACCAGUGGCGAAGGCGGCUUCCUGGUCUGUAACUGACACUGAGGCGCGAAAGCGUGGGGAGCAAACAGGAUUAGA